rnacentral:misc_RNA from 1 species
UCCGGCUUAACGCCGGCAGUCUCCCUAGAGUGCCCAACUUAAUGGUGGCAACUAAGGACGAGGGUUGCGCUCGUUGCGGGACUUAACCCAACACCUCACGACACGAGCUGACGACAGCCAUGCAGCACCUGUGCUGGGGUCCCGAAGGAGGCCCCCUCUUUCAAGGGGGUUUCCCCAGCAUGUCAAGCCCAGGUAAGGUUCUUCGCGUUGCGUCGAAUUAAACCACAUGCUCCACCACUUGUGCGGGCCCCCGUCAAUUCCUUUGAGCUUCAGCCUUGCGGCCGUACUCCCCAGGCGGGGCACUUAAUGCGUUAGCGCCGGCACCCAGGGGGUCGCUCCCCCAGGCACCUAGUGCCCAUCGUUUACGGCGUGGACUAC